CUUCUUUUCUCUAGGAUUCGUUCCUGCUUCCUUAGAAGCUUGCUGCCAGGACUUUCCUGUUGUGAUGUCGGUAGACCCCCUAAACGAGCAUUUGCAGAUCCUUCGAGAUGAUAAGGGCUGGAGAUACAGGUCAACAAUAGAUCACCUGCAUCACACAUGGGAACAUGGGAAGGUUCAAUUGCAGUUCCAAGUAAUGCAAGAAAAAAAAAGUCCAAUUCCUCAUUUAGCCAGGCAUGGGACGAUUGCCACUAGUUUGAGGCCAGUCUGGGUUACAGAGUGAGACCUUGUCUCAAAAGCAAACAAGAAACACGAACCCAGACGAACAGGAACUAUGGACUUGUGGAAGGAGCCCUGGUCAAGCAGUCAGCAGCUCCACACGGUUCAGUGCAAUCAGACGUGCCAUAGAGAUCUGCAAAGACAAGAUGCCUCCGUGUUCUCAUUUUCGUCAGCUUGGAGAAGGACUCAAGUGACCAUGACCCUCGGCUUUGAUGGACUUGAAGGAGUUAGGCAGGAAGAGAAACGGAGGAAGAACAUGCCAACCCCCAGACAGCCCUGAACACAAAAGCUGCCCCGCUGCAUUCAGAGAACUGAAAACAGUCGAACCCAGCAGGAGCGCUUGGUGUGGGAGUCUGUGUCCACAGAGGAGAGUGUGGGUUUGGACUCUGACCCACCUCCUGAGUCACUAUCUCUUAGGUGAAAGGCAAAGAGGCACAAGUGUCUGGCGUGGCUGAGUAUUUGUGUAUGAUGCCACCACAAAUUUCUCGGUGGACUCUGAUGUGCUCCAUUCACCCCGAUGGACAAACACAGUGACGACUCCUACUCAGAGCACACAAACUCAGAACUUCCUUUCACUGCACCUCCCACAAUGCCCCAUUUUGCUACGCUUCCCACAAUGCCCAUGGUGUGAAGCAGGAACACGGAUGAUCAAUCACCUUGUCCAUUGUUGGCAUGGGUGCCAUUUCCUCAGUGAUGCUUUGCCUCCUUUUGGAGGCUUCUAGUAAUAUAUAGGUUUAUUCUCAGUCUGUUCCUCUAGUUAGACACAAAGUAUUACCGUGCUGAUGAAGAUUUUUCAGUGAUUUGGGAUACCAUAAGGUCUAAAUUCUCUAGAAAUAAAUUUUCUUUUAUUCUAUUGGUUUUGGAAAA